ACACUUACCUGGCAGGGGAGAUACCAUGAUCACGAAGGCGGUUUUCCCAGGGCAAGGCUUAUCCAUUGCACUCCAGAUGUGCUGACCUCUGCGAUUUCCCCAAAUGCGGGAAACUCGACUGCAUAAUUUGUGGUAGCGGGGGACUGCGUUCACGCUCUCCCCUG
ensembl:snRNA U1 U1 spliceosomal RNA